CACAAAAUCUGCUACGAGUUGAUACUGCCUUGCUGCAAAGAUAUCAUAUUGAAUAUGCUGGGAAGUUCUGAGCUUCAGAAGCUGAAGCAUGUCUCUCU